ensembl:lncRNA
CCACACCAGAGCAUAGGCAAAGGACAAGGAAAAAAACAAAGGUAUUUCACCUACUUAGAAAUCACCUUAAGAAAUACUAUAGUCUUUGUUUGCAUUUAUUUUCUAUUUCAUGUGAUUUGUUUUCUCUCUCUCCCCCUUCUCUCUCUACCUCUCUCUCUCUCUCCCCCUUCUCCCCCCUCUCCCCUUCUCCCCCACUCUCCCCCUUCUCUCUCCCCCCUUCUCUCUCCCCCUCUCUCUCUCCCCCUUCUCUCUCUCCCCCUUCCCCUCAUUCUCUCUCCCCCUCUCUCUCCCUUCUCUCUCCCCCCUUCUCUCUCUACCUCUCUCCCCCCUUCUCUCUCCCCCUCUCUCCCUCCUCUCCCCUUCUCCCCCCUUCUCUCUCCCCCUUCUCUCUCCCGCUCUCUCUCUCUCCCUCCUUCUCUCUCCCCCCUUCUCUCUCCCCCUCUCUCCCCCCUUCUCUCUCCCCCUCUCCCCUUCCUUCUCUCUCCCCCUCUCUCCCCCUUCUCUCUCCCUCUCUCCCCCCUCUCCACUUCUCCCCCCUUCUCUCUCCCCCUCUCUCUCUCCCCCUCUCUCUCACCCCCUUCUCUCUCCCCCUCUCUCUCUCCCCCUCUCCCCUUCCUUCUCUCUUCCCUUCUCUCUCUUCCCUCUCUCUCCCCUCUCUCCCCCCUUCUCUCUCCCUCCUCUCUCCCCCCUUCUCUCUCUCCCCCCUUCUCUCUCUCCCCCUUCUUUCUCCCCCUCUCCCCCCUCUCUCCCCCUUCUCUCACCCCCCUUCUCUCUCUCCCUCUCUCUCUCCCCCCUUCUCUCUCCCCCUUUCCCUCUCCCCCUCCCCCUCCUUCUCUGUCCCCACUCUCCCCUUCUCCCCCCCUCUCUCUCUCCCCCCCUUCUCUCUCCAUCCCCCUCUCUCUCCCCCUCUCUCUCCCCCCUUCUCUCCCCCCUUCUCUCUCCCCCCUUCUAUCUCCCCCUUCUCUCUCCCCCCUCUCCCCUUCCUUUUCUCUCCCCCUCUCUCCCCCUUCUCUCUCCCUCUCUCCCCCUGUCCCCUUCUCCCCCUUCUCUCUCCCCCUUUCUCUCUCCCCCCUUCUCUCUCCCUGUCCUUCUCUCACCCCCCUUCUCUCUCUCCCUCUCUCUCUCCCCCCUUCUCUCUCCCCCUUUCCCUCUCCCCCUCCCCCUCCUUCUCUGUCCCCACUCUCCCCUUCUCCCCCCCUCUCUCUCUCCCCCCCUUCUCUCUCCAUCCCCCUCUCUCUCCCCCUCUCUCUCCCCCCUUCUCUCCCCCCUUCUCUCUCCCCCCUUCUAUCUCCCCCUUCUCUCUCCCCCUCUCCCCUUCCUUUUCUCUCCCCCUCUCUCCCCCUUCUCUCUCCCUCUCUCCCCCUGUCCCCUUCUCCCCCUUCUCUCUCCCCCUUUCUCUCUCCCCCCUUCUCUCUCCCUGUCCUUCUCUCUCCCCCUCUCUCUCUCCCCCUUCUCUCUCCCCCCUCUCCCCUUCCUUCUCUCUCACCCUCUCUCUCCCCCCCUUCUCUCUCUCUCUCCUCCACCCCCUCUCUCCCCCUUCUCUCUCCCCCUCUCUCUCCCCCUUCUCUCUCCCCCUCUCCCCUUCCUUCUCUCUCCCCCCUUCUCUCUCCCCCUCCUUUUCUCUCCCCCUCUCCCUCCUCUCUCCCCACUUCUCUCUCCCUCUCUCUCUCCCCCCUUCUCUCUCCCCCUCUCUCUCCCCCUUCUCUCUCCCCCUCUCCCCUUUCUUCUCUCUCCCCCUCUCUCCCCCUUCUCUCUCCCUCUCUCCCCCCUCUCCACUUCUCCCCCCUUCUCUCUCCCCCUCUCUCUCUCCCUUCUCUCUCCCCCUUCUCUCUCCCCCUCUCCCCUUCCUUCUCUCUUCCCUUCUCUCUCUCCCCCUCUCUCUCCCCCUUCUCUCUCCCUCCUUCUCUCUGCCCCUCUCUCUCCCCCCUUCUCUCUCUCCCCCUUCUCUCUCCCCCCUCUCCCCUUCUCCCCCCUCUCCCCCUUCUCUCACCCCCCCUUCUCUCUCUCCCUCUCUCUUUCACCCCUUCUCUCUCCCCCUUUCUCUCUCCCCCCCUCCUUCUCUCUCCCCCUUCUCUCUCCCACCUCUCCCCUUCUCCCCCCCUCUCUCUCCCCCCUUCUCUCUCCAUCCCCCUCUCUCUCCCCCUCUCUCCCCCCUUCUCUCUCCCCCCUUCUAUCUCCUCCCUUCUCUCUCCCCCUCUCCCCUUCCUUUUCUCUCCCCCUCUCUCUCCCCCUUCUCUCUCCCUCUCUCCCCCUGUCCCCUUCUCCCCCCUCUUUAUCCCCCCUUCUCUCUCCCCCUCUCUCUCUCCCCCCUUCUCUCUCCCGCUCUCUCUCUCCCCCCUUCUCUCUCUCUCUCCCCCUCCCCCUCUCUCCCCCUUCUCUCUCGCCCUCUCUCUCUCCCCCUUCUCCCUCCCUUUCUCCCCAUUCUCUCUCCCCCUCUCCCCCUCCUUCUCUCUCCCCCUCUCUCUCCCCCUCUCCCCUUCCAUCUCUCUCCCCCCUUCUCUCUCCCCCUCUCUCUCUCCCCCAUCUCUCUCCCCCUCCUUCUCUCUCCCCCUCUCCCCUCCUUCUCUCUCCCCCCUUCUCUCUUCCCCCUUCUCUCUCUCCCUCUCUCUCCCCUUCUCUCCCCCUCUCCCCUUCCUUCUCUCUCCCCCUCUCUCCCCCCUUCUCUCUCCCCCUCUCCCCUUCUCCCCCCUCUCUAUCCCCCCUCUCUCUCUCUCUCUCUCCCCCUCCCCCUCUCUCCCCCCCUCUCUCUCCCCCUCCCCCUCUCUCCCCCUUCUCUCUCCCCCUCUUUCUCUCUCCCCCUUUCUCCCCCCUUCUCUCUCCCCCUCUCUCGCUCCCCCUUCUCUCUCCCCCCUUCUCUCUCUCCCCCUCCCUCUCGAUCCCCCCCUUUUCUCACCCCCUUCUCUCUCCCCCUUUCUCUCUCCCCCUCCUUCUCUCUGCCCCUUUCUCUCUCCCCCCUUCUCUCUCUUUCUCCCCCUCCUUCUCUCUCCCCCUCUCUCCCCCCCUUCUCUAAAGUGCAGCCCAUUAACUAACUUAAUGUUGUUGUUCCUCAAAGAGUCUUUGAGAUUCUUCUUGUAUUGA